UAGUCCACGCCCUAAACGAUGCUAACUCGAUGUUUGGGUCCUAGAUCUGAGCAUCCAAGCGAAAGCGUUAAGUUAGCCACCUGGGGAGUACGUUCGCAAGAAUGAAACUCAAAGGAAUUGACGGGGGCCCGCACAAGCGGUGGAGCAUGUGGUUUAAUUCGAUGAUACGCGAGGAACCUUACCAAGGCUUAAAUGCAAUACGAAUACUAUGGAAACAUAGUAGUCUAUCAGACGGAUUGCAAGGUGCUGCAUGGUUGUCGUCAGCUCGUGCCGUGAGGUGUCAGGUUAAGUCCUAUAACGAGCGCAACCCCUGUUGUUAGUUGCCAGCAAGAAAGAUGGGGACUCUAACAAAACUGCCGGUGCAAACCGUGAGGAAGGUGGGGAUGACGUCAAAUCAUCACGGCCCUUACGUCUUGGGGCUACACACGUGCUACAAUGGCAGGUACAAUGGGAAGCCACCGGGUGACCGGGAGCGAAUCCUAAAAACCUGU
rnacentral:rRNA from 1 species